rnacentral:rRNA from 1 species
UGAGUUUGAUUAUGGCUCAGAUUGAACGCUGGCGGCAGGCCUAACACAUGCAAGUCGAGCGGUAACAGGACUAGCUUGCUAGUUGCUGACGAGCGGCGGACGGGUGCGUAACACGUAGGAAUCUGCCCGGUAGUGGGGGAUAGCCCGGAGAAAUCCGGAUUAAUACCGCAUACGCCUUACGAGGGAAAGGAGGGGCCUCUUCGGAGCCUUUCGCUAUCGGAUGAGCCUGCGUCGGAUUAGCUAGUUGGUGGGGUAAAGGCCUACCAAGGCGACGAUCCGUAGCUGGUCUGAGAGGAUGAUCAGCCACACUGGGACUGAGACACGGCCCAGACUCCUACGGGAGGCAGCAGUGGGGAAUAUUGCACAAUGGGGGAAACCCUGAUGCAGCCAUGCCGCGUGUGUGAAGAAGGCUCUAGGGUUGUAAAGCACUUUCAGCGAGGAGGAAAGGUUGCUGGUUAAUACCCAGCGGCUGUGACGUUACUCGCAGAAGAAGCACCGGCUAACUCCGUGCCAGCAGCCGCGGUAAUACGGAGGGUGCGAGC